rnacentral:rRNA from 1 species
UACGAGGGGGGCAAGCGUUGUUCGGAAUUAUUGGGCGUAAAGGGCGCGUAGGCGGUGCGGUAAGUCACCUGUGAAACCUCUAGGCUCAACCUAGAGCCUGCAGGCGAAACUGCCGUGCUUGAGGGUGGGAGAGGUGCGUGGAAUUCCCGGUGUAGCGGUGAAAUGCGUAGAUAUCCGGAGGAACACCAGUGGCGAAGGCGGUUGCCUGGAGCUUUGCUGACGCUGAUGCGCGAAAGCGUGGGGAGCGAUCCGG